CCCUUAGACGUUCUGGGCCGCACGCGCGCUACACUGACCAGUGCAACAAGCAUCCGUCCUUGGCCGACAGGCCCGGGCAAUCUUUGAACGCUGGUCGUGACGGGGAUAGACUUUUGCAAUUUUUGGUCUUCAACGAGGAAUUCCUAGUAAACGCAAGUCAUCAACUUGCAUUGAUUACGUCCCUGCCCUUUGUACACACCGCCCGUCGCACCUACCGAUUGAAUGGUCCGGUGAAGCCUCCGGAUUGGCGCGCACCUCGGUGCCGCCGAGAAGUUGGCUAAACCUUACCAUUUAGAGGAAGGUGAAGUCGUAACA
rnacentral:rRNA from 1 species